AGAAAAGUCUCUCAGGAGUCUACUAUGACAAACAAAGAUUGGAAUAUUAUACUUCUUUUCUGGUAUGUUGUUUGCUAAACAACCCUACAGUUAUGCUAUAGUUCUGCUUGCUUAUUUUAAAUAGAGUGUUUAGAAAUCAGUUCUUGUAGUGACGUUCACAAGUGUGUACAAGCAGGCAUGGCAUGUAUUUCUUUAAACUUUUCUUCCAGGAGUACACGUGUAGUUAGGAGCAUCAGCUGUGAGAACGGAUUGUUUUGUCCUUAUUAUCAGCAACUUUCAUCCUGGCCAUGGUGAUCCUGUUUUAUGUGUUUAGCUAAGUAUUCAUCAGUCUGAAAGCAGAGAUGCUGCACACAGAAGUUGUUGAGAAAUUUAUUUUCCUAUGUUCCUACUCCAGAAAGAUUUGUUUUUCCUAACUCUGAGCUUCUGUUGAAAGGCGACGAGUAACAAAGCCUGGAAAAUACUGAAAUGUUGUCCUUCAAAAAAGAGUGGAUCUAAAACUCUUACAAGAACUGUGAAGUGGCCUGGUGAGUCCACCUGCCUCAACAUUGAGUUGCUAAAGGACUGCUAGAAAUAGUGAGCUCAGUCACUAAUGGAUCAGGAGUCUCACGAGAUCUGAUUUAGAGUGGUUUUGUAACGUCUUCAAAAUGCUGCUGAAGGUGCUGUCUCAUGAACAAAUAAAACUCUAUGCAGAGGUAAUGGUGAUCCUGAG
rnacentral:lncRNA from 1 species